CUGGACCAACAUCUUCAAACCUCUUCAAAACCCCUCUCUUUCAAAACAUCCCCAGAUCUUCAAACCUCAAAACCCAAACACCAUCUCACUUCUCCAGCCACAGCUCACCUCCUCCGCCACCCCCUCCACCUCCGCCGCACCUCCGCCGCCCCUCCACCAUCGACACCUCACCUCCUCCGGCGCCCCUCCACCCAUCUCAAGUCGUUCAAACUUCUCCAAUCGACACCCAUCUCCAGCCUUUCAACCUUCUCCAAUCGACACCCAUCUCCAGCAGUUCAACCUUCUCCAAUCGACACCUAUCUCAGCCGGUCAACCUUCACCAAUCGACACCCAUCUCCAGCCGGCCAACCUUUUCCAGCCGACACUGCACUAGGACAUUAGAAAGCAGUGUGAGGACAACCUAUUUGAACAUAUUUUUUAGUUUAGGUAAUUCAAGACGGGUUUAUGCAAUGGAAUGGAGUGGUUAGAAAUAGUUUGGUGCAGCUCCUGAUGUUCCUUUUGAAGUUGAUGGUUCUGAAGCUGGCUUGUUCAAAACCCAUGGCCCACUCAGUUUUGGUUCAUGAUGUUGGGCAUAUGGUUCCUAUGGAUCAACCAAAGGUAGCUCUAAGCAUGUUAAAGAGGUGGACAAGGAGAUCACUUUCUGAAAGUGGAGCUGAGGCCGAAUCCGUUGUUUCUUCCACGUGAUGUCUAGAGCCAGAUUGGUGGUGCGUCUAAGUUCUAAAGACAUUUAACCAAGUUGAACAAUAAGAGCAUCACUUCACUGGCUAGCAUAUUGGAUGGUUUCAUGCUCAGAUUAUUGGUUCUAUAUCAGUUGAUAUUGUUGGGUGUUUUGACUUUUUGUGUUCAGAUGAACCAUAUGUAAACUAUACUAAAAUACCAAAUUUGACCUUUUGUGGUUCA